rnacentral:rRNA from 1 species
GGAUCAUUACCGAGUUUACAACUCCCAAACCCCUGUGAACAUACCAAUUGUUGCCUCGGCGGAUCAGCCCGCUCCCGGUAAAACGGGACGGCCCGCCAGAGGACCCCUAAACUCUGUUUCUAUAUGUAACUUCUGAGUAAAACCAUAAAUAAAUCAAAACUUUCAACAACGGAUCUCUUGGUUCUGGCAUCGAUGAAGAACGCAGCAAAAUGCGAUAAGUAAUGUGAAUUGCAGAAUUCAGUGAAUCAUCGAAUCUUUGAACGCACAUUGCGCCCGCCAGUAUUCUGGCGGGCAUGCCUGUUCGAGCGUCAUUUCAACCCUCAAGCCCAGCUUGGUGUUGGGACUCGCGAGUCAAAUCGCGUUCCCCAAAUUGAUUGGCGGUCACGUCGAGCUUCCAUAGCGUAGUAGUAAAACCCUCGUUACUGGUAAUCGUCGCGGCCACGCCGUUAAACCCCAACUUCUGAAUGUUGACCUCGGAUCAGGUAGGAAUACCCGCUGAACUUAAGCAUAUCAAUAAGCGGAGGAAAAGAAACCAACAGGGAUUGCCCUAGUAACGGCGAGUGAAGCGGCAACAGCUCAAAUUUGAAAUCUGGCUCUCGGGCCCGAGUUGUAAUUUGUAGAGGAUACUUUUGAUGCGGUGCCUUCCGAGUUCCCUGGAACGGGACGCCAUAGAGGGUGAGAGCCCCGUCUGGUUGGAUGCCAAAUCUCUGUAAAGUUCCUUCGACGAGUCGAGUAGUUUGGGAAUGCUGCUCUAAAUGGGAGGUAUAUGUCUUCUAAAGCUAAAUACCGGCCAGAGACCGAUAGCGCACAAGUAGAGUGAUCGAAAGAUGAAAAGCACUUUGAAAAGAGAGUUAAAAAGUACGUGAAAUUGUUGAAAGGGAAGCGUUUAUGACCAGACUUGGGCUUGGUUGAUCAUCUGGGGUUCUCCCCAGUGCACUCUUCCAGUCCAGGCCAGCAUCAGUUUUCGCCGGGGGAUAAAGACUUCGGGAAUGUGGCUCUCUUCGGGGAGUGUUAUAGCCCGUUGUGUAAUACCCUGGCGGGGACUGA